rnacentral:rRNA from 1 species
AGAGUUUGAUCCUGGCUCAGGACGAACGCUGGCGGCGUGCUUAACACAUGCAAGUCGAACGGCAGCACGGGGCGAACCCUCGGUGGCGAGUGGCGAGCGGGUGAGUAAUGCAUCGGAACGUAUCCUUGAGUGGGGGAGUAACGCAGCGAAAGUUAGUGCUAAUACCGCAUAAGCUCUGAGGAGGGAAGCGGGGGACCGGAAAGGCCUCGCGCUGAAGGAGCGGCCGAUGUCCGAUUAGCUAGUUGGUGAGGUAAAGGCUUACCAAGGCGACGAUCGGUAGCUGGUCUGAGAGGAUGAUCAGCCACACUGGGACU